GCUACACAGCGAUGUGAUGCUAAUCUCCAAACCAUGUCUCAGUUCGGAUCGGAGUCUGCAACUCGACUCCGUGAAGCUGGAUUCGCUAGUAAUCGCGCAUCAGCCAUGGCGCGGUGAAUACGUUCCCGGGCCUUGUACACACCGCCCGUCAAGCCAUGGGAGCCGGGGGUACCUGAAGUUCGUGACCGCAAGGAGCGACCUAGGGCAAAACUGGUGACUGGGGCUAAGUCGUAACAAGGUAUC
rnacentral:rRNA from 1 species